GAACAUUUUACAUGUUCUCCAAAACAAAACUGUUUCUUAUAAAAGUCUGAAAAUUUCAUUACAUCGUCAUGAGCACCAGUGGUAGCUGGUCUCUACAAGACAAAGCUGAUAAAUACUGGCUGUGGUGGUUUGAGAACAUCCCCAUAGGCUUGGAUAUUUAAAUCCUUGGUCACCAGUUGGUAGUACUAUUUGGGGGAGGUAGUGUGACCUUGCUGAAGAUCACAGGUGUCAGAUGUGGAGAGUUAAUAGUCUGGUUCACACUUCUAGUUCUCAGUUAGGUGUUUGCAGGUGAGGAUGUAGAUGCUUCCUGAAGCCUCCUCUGCUGAUAUGAACGUUUUUCCGGAAACACACGCCAAAAUAAACUCAUUCUUCAUAAACUUCCCCAGGUCAUAUGUUUUAUCACAGAAACAAACAAGUAACUAAUAUUGCCCCCAACCAUUACUACUUAUCUGGAACUCAAUGACUUUGGACUCUGUCCAGAAAUGUUUUUGAUCUUCAAAUGAAAAUGACAUCUACAAUGAUAGACUUCAGUGGAAAGUCUUAUCAUUCACAAGUACUACACACUCAAAUUUAAAAUUAUUAUGGAGAUAAUAUUCUUCUUGUGUGAAAUUUCUGUGGAGAAAUAGGAGCAAUAUCUACUCAGCCCUGAUAAGGCACCAAAACCAGAACAAAUAAUGAUUCCACCAAGUCUAUCUUCUCAUAUGAAUUUGCUUAUUGUGUCUCCUGACAGAGUAUGGCUUAGAGGUUACUUAGGAGAGUGAGUAGCCUCCAAUGCAUCUGUACUACCCAAAAAAAUUCUCACACCACCAUGGUUAACAACUUCCUCUUGCUGUGUAGAUAGAGUGCCCUGUCAUUUAACUUUCUAUGCUCUGUAGACUCCAUCACCUCCUAAGACCAUGAGACCAUGAACAACUUGGGCAGAAUUACAUACUUUUGGGAAGGAGUUACAAGGAAUGGCUGGGCUCUCGGAAGAUAGUCUACUAACCCACUCCCUUUUUCUUAGAGAGAAUGUCAACAUGGCCAUCUAGAGGGUCUCUUGCAAAUAGCCAGAGCUUCUGAUAGAGAUAGCGUAGGUUUUAUGAUCAGAGGACAGUACUCUCUAACACCCGCAAACUCAGAUUUUAAAACAGUAUGGGAAUUGAUUCCUUGCUUUUGCUAAUAUUCUUCUCUCUCUCAUUGAACCUCAUUUUUAUGUUUUAAUAACCUAGACUUACUUACAAUGUAGCAUUGUCUCAACUGUCUCCCUCUUGCUUGCCUGGAUGGACUCCUCCUUUGUGGACAAGCCUCCUCAUCUGUGGAAUGAAUAGUAUAAACUAUGUGAAGGCGAUGUGAAGAAUCAAUCAUACAAGGAGUAUAAAGUACUGAACUCAGUGCCGAAAGAAUAUAAAAGGUUCCAGGCAAGGAUGCUCAUUUAGGAGAAUAAACAAGAAUGGACCAGAAAUCAGAACUCCCUCUGGCAUUCUUGGCUUCCAGCAAGGACAGAAUGGAUGACAAGAUUAAUGAUGUUUUCUGGACUGUUAUCCUCAGGGUCUCUGCCACAACACUGCCUAAACAGUUUCUAUCUCUUGUUCUGAAUAGUAUGCUGAGAUAAAAAAGCCAGAUGCCAAGUUUAUGUGUUGUAUGAUUCCAUGUAUACGAACUACCCAGAAAAGGUAGAUUUAUACAGACAGAAAGAUUGGUGGUUGCUGGAGCCUCCCUCUGCAUAGGGAGACUUACAGGGAGACUGACUACAGAGCCUCCUUUUCCUCUGAUGAGAGUGUCUUAAGAGUUAAAAGAGGGGAUGAUUAUACAACAUUAUGAAUGUACUAAAUGCUAAUGAAUUUUGUGCUUUAAAAUCAAUUUUAUAGUUUUCACUUCCAUAAAAAUAUUCUAUAACUGACUAUAAUUGACACAGUAUUUCUACAGAACACAUUGACAUCUGUGUUAUCAUUGGAUUAUUAUGGAAUGCAUUAAAAUAAAGUGCCCAUUAAAUAAUUUAUUUUGAGGGCCAAGGAGAUUGCUCAGUGAAAGGGCACAUGCCUAGUACACACAGUAUGCUGGGUUCAACCCACUGUAUGGAGAAUAUAAAUGCAAGGAGUGGGCACUGUUUAUGUAAUUUUAUGGCAGAUAGAUUAAUGUAAUCACACUAUUGUAGUUUAGUCACUCCCACUCCGAGGGACCUCAUUCCAGGUUUAUAUACAUUAGUGUAAGUUCUUAUAUACUAUAUCCAUAGUAAAUAAAAAUCCCACAUCUUGCUUAUUUACAGGUUGUAGUGUGUACUGUUGGAGAAAUUAAUGAGAGUAGUAGAAUAGAGUUUUAAUUAAGUUAGAUAAAUGUAUGCAUUGGACACUGUUAGAUGUUCUACGCAUCCACAAUGUCACUUGAUAUACACUGAUAUCCAGUCAAUUCCAUAGAAAUGUGUACCAUUUGUAGAAAGCAGGGUUCGCCAGAAUAAAGCAGAUCUCCCUCCCAAUUCUACAGUGAAUCCAUGGGGAUCUACAAUCAAAACGUAUUUUAACCUUUGAUUUGAAAAUUCUUAGAAACAAGACUGGUUUCUUGUGUUUCCUGAGUUAGCUUCUACAACACACAUUGCUCUAGAUACUGGGCUUUAGCAGAAUGUUUAGCCCAAAUGUUAUUGACAGCAUACAGCUUGUAUGCAAAGGAAGAAAAUAAGAAAGUAUUAGUGAUGUUUAAAAAAUGAAGCAGGGAAGCAAUUACAUUGUACGUUGUGCUGAUGGUGGAGAUGGACUGAAGUUGUCUGGAAGGGCCUUCAUGGCCAGGUGCUAAACAAGUAUGUAAAGGAGUAGUUUUGUUAGACAGAUAAGUAUCUUCCCUCCAACUCCUUCAGAAAAUACACAUCGUAAUUCUUAAAGUGCUGUGAAUGUUACCUUAGAUGGCAAACUAACAGUUUGGAGGUGCUUGAAUUUUCCAGUGUUAAAAUGUGGAGGUUAUUCGUUUGAGAGCAUGUAACCUUGUGAUUCCUUAGAAUCAAUACAUCUUGUGCAGCUAGGACCAGAGGGAGAGAUGUAGAAGAGGGGUCAGACCGACGCCGUUUUGUACUUUGAAGGGAGGGGAAAGUUCCCACAGGCCAAUGGAUGUGGGUGGCCUUCAGAAGUUGGAAAAACAAGGAAACAGAUUCUUCCCUAGAUCCUCCAGGAUAAAAAAGAAAAAAAAAUAGAAAAAGAAAAAACACAGCCUUCCUAACACCUUGACUUUAGCCCUGUGAGAUCAGAUAUUGACUUCUGACCUACCAAACUGUAAGAUAAUAAAUCUAUGUUUCCUUAACCACUAAGUUCAUGGUAAUUUGUUACAAUAGCAACUGAAAACUAACACAAAAGAGAGCUUCUAACUUGUUCAAAGAGCUGCGGGGGCAGUCACAAAAUCUGGAGAAGAAUAGAGAAGAUGGAGCUAGAGUCUGGGAGAAAGACAGUGGAGGGCUUGUCAGCCAGAAUAACGGCACUGGUUUCCACUCGGAGAUAGAAUGUCGCUUUGGAUUCUGAGAAGAUGAAUGCCAGUGUCUAUCUUACAUCUAAAGUGAUACCAUCCCCUCCUUUGUAGAGGAAAAAGAACAAGAGAAGUGAAUGAAGAGGAUCUUUAAAUGCCUGCAGGAGAGACAGUGUUCAACAGAGUAAGGGAAAUGGUCAUGAAGAUAAGUCAUGGGGCAAUUAUCAGGAGUGAGGAAUACUUACAGAAUAUAUGUAGUCUAAGCAAAUAGGAAGUUUUGUUAAUAGAGAAGGAGAAGACUAUGAGACAAACAGAUAUGGACUAGAGAUACCAGAAUUUAAUUUUCAGACAUGCUGAGUUUGAGAUUGAAGAGCAAUACUGAGCAGUGGAUUGCAUGACUGGAGAGAUGAGGAUAAAAUUCUCUACAUUGGAGAUUAAAUCGGGGUCACUGUUAGGAGUCUAUACAUGGUCCUAGAUGACAGAGGCAAAUACCGAAGUGGGAAGUGGAAAGAGAGUGUAUUGACCUCCAGGUUCUGAGUGACUCUAAUGUUAAAAGAUGAAGAAAAUGGAGAGAAAUUCGCCAAUGAGCCUGAGGAGGAGUCGCAUAAGCUGUGGGGGAGGGGAGCAAAAACAAACAGAAACCCUAGGAAGGUGUAUGUCCUUGGGAACAAAGGAAGCAUGUGUUUUACAGACACUCACCUCCCAGAUAAGAGAAGGUCAGGCUGACAAUUGACCAAGGAUCUGGGUCCGUGCCCCAGAGAAGAGCAGUUUGAAGACAGUGGGAUGGGGACUGUUAAUCUGGACUGCACUUGGUUGAACAUAGUUGGGGUGCUGGCUUAAUGGUCAGUUCCCACCACCACAAACAAAGAAACAACAACACCAGAGGGAAAACAACUCAUUGGCAUCAGCAAAUAUAUUAUUCAUCACCUUCUUGAAGGAGAUUUGCUUUAAGGAGGAACUCAAAUGAUAGCAAAUGAAACAUUGGAAAAGUUCCACAUGUUCUGCUAAUGUUCUGGGAGCAUGUGGGCACAGGAUAUGAGCAAUAGUCCUGGUGAGAAAGGUGAUAACCUGGGUAUGUCAACCUCAGGGAUGCUGGCUUUGCUCUUAUUUUUAUACCUUGUUGGGCCAGUAGAGUUACUAAGACAGUAUCUUUGACUUUGCUAAUAUACAGUCCCAAACUAUCUUGCACACAUAAGCAACCUUUAUUCCAUGCUGUAAGGUUGCCAGAGAGUCAGUGUUAACUGUAGACAAGUGAAUGCAGAACCCUUUACCUGACUUGGUAUAAAGUCUUUUGAAAUGUGAAUUUUUUUUUCUCUUUCAUGAUGAAAGAUUUGUAGUUUUCUAUUAAAAGAAGCAGUGACUACCAGCAAGACAUUUAUGCUUGUGGAGGUUUAUAUGUUCUCAGUGUCGUUCUACCCCACCUCACCCCUUCGUUAACGUAUGUCCCUACUAUUUGACAAGUUGUGGGAAAGGGUAGGCUGCCUGUGCUGCACCGGCUUGGAAAUACCCUUUGGAAGACUAGCACUGUUGUCGCUUGUUUGUUUGCUUGCUUGCUUUGCAUUUGU